UGGACUGUCUUUGGUGAUUCCAAUUUCACUUGUUGAAUGGAUCUAAUACUCACUGCUUGAUGACCUUUGGAUUCUUAUCCUGAAUCUUAAAUGGUGACUCAGCAAUUUGUCUUGCACAAAAAUGGAAAGAGUACAGCAACACAUUCCUUGGGAACAUUCUGUUCUGUUGCUGACUCAUGUCUGAAGAGAUUGACACACAUACACAUAUUCACACGCACACAUGCUGCUGCUAUCUCACAGAAUACAUAGCCUUGGUGUAUCUACUCAUCAUGUCUGCUGAGCAGACCUGAUCGAACCUCUGAUGUCCUGGAAUUGUAGCUGGAUGCAGUGAAGACAC